rnacentral:rRNA from 1 species
CUUAACACAUGCAAGUCGAGGGGCAGCAUUGUGAGUAGCAAUACUUACAGAUGGCGACCGGCGCAAGGGUGCGUAACGCGUGAGCAACAUGCCCGUAACAGGGGGAUAAUCCAGGGAAACUUGGUCUAAUACCGCAUAAUAUCAAUUAGAGGCAUCUUUGAUUGAUUAAAAUUUCGAUGGUUACGGAUUGGCUCGCGUGACAUUAGCUGGAUGGAGAGGUAACGGCUCACCAUGGCGACGAUGUCUAGGGGAACUGAGAGGUUUAUCCCCCACACUGGUACUGAGACACGGACCAGACUCCUACGGGAGGCAGCAGUGAGGAAUAUUGGACAAUGGAUGGAAAUCUGAUCCAGCCAUGCCGCGUGCAGGACUACAGCCCUAUGGGUUUUAAACUGCUUUUGUAUGGGAGCAAUAAUAUGUACGCGUACAUAGAUGAGAGUACCAUACGAAUAAGCAUCGGCUAACUCCGUG